GUUUAGUUCUUCAUUCUUCAUUUCACUUAAACAUGCUAAAUAUAGUUGCUGUUGCGUUUUGUUUAUUUGUCCUCUAUUGUGACGUCAUGAUUGCGAGGAGCCAUGCGUAUAGCCAUUCUGAAGAAUGCAGGUAUCCAUUUCGAACAAUAGAGAAUAGCUGUUACUUUAUCAGCAGGGCGAAAGCGACUCCAGAUCAAGCAUUUGCAUUGUGUUUACGGCGUGGUGCAUACCUUGCCAAUUUUGAGACUUUGGAAGAGGCCAUGUUGAUGAAGUAUGAACUUCAACAAAUGAAAACAGGUUUACACUUCCAUGUUGGAGGGCGCAACAUAAACAGAUACGUCCCUGGCGGAGACUGGAGAUGGAUACAAAACGGAAAAAUGAUCAAAAUGACGUACAAAGCUUUUGGUUCUGGACAACCUGGCGGAUCGAAUGCUGCCCUAGAAGACUGCAUGUUUUUUUAUGCAGGAGAAAGAUAUACCUUUCACGAUCUACACUGUGACCACCCCUCAUGGAGUAGUGGAUA